UGCACGAUCACAAGUGCACUGCAGGUAAAAUCACAAGUGCACGUGCCAGAUCACAAGCGCACGAUCACCAGUGCACCCAUAUGCAAAAUCACAAGUGCACGCAUAGGGUCUCAAAUGGGCCCAGUGCAUUAGCGGGCCCCCCUCAGCCUACCAGGUGACAGGAGCCACUGGAUUGGGAGUCACACCCAGGGUGCCUGGGCAGGGGGCAUAGGAGGGCCGGUGGGGGGCUCAAGUCCACCCCCCCACACACAGGACGGCAGCCGCAAAGGUCCAAUAUAGAUUUUAUAGAGCGAUCUCGAGAGAACCAUUUCCAGCGCCAAAAACGUCUCUCUAUAUUAAAAAGAUCAUUCACUUUUCUCUCAGAAAAAUACUGCCAGCGCGGCCCCUUGUUCUAGGGGGCAGGAUGGGGAUGAAGCGUGCCCCCCCCCAACACCAGGAGGGGGCGAGAAGCUGAGCGAGGGGAUAUUUGUCCGAAGCGGCAGUGGGGUGUGUGUGAUCUUCCACGGGGGGGGGACCCCGGGGGAGGAGCUGGCUGGUUAAAUGGGGGGCUGGGAUGGCCAAGAUUUUGGCAGCAGCAGUUGGGGGCGGCCUGGGGCUGGAAAAGGAUCCGGAGUGGAGAGGAAACUGACAAAGAAAUUAGCAAAUGGUGCGGCAGGAGG